CUGGGAUGGACCUGCGGUGCAUUAGCUAGUUGGUAAGGUAACGGCUUACCAAGGCGAUGAUGCAUAGCCGAGUUGAGAGACUGAUCGGCCACAAUGGAACUGAGACACGGUCCAUACUCCUACGGGAGGCAGCAGUAGGGAAUCUUCCACAAUGGGCGCAAGCCUGAUGGAGCAACACCGCGUGAGUGAAGAAGGGUUUCGGCUCGUAAAGCUCUGUUGUUGGAGAAGAACGUGCGUGAGAGUAACUGUUCACGCAGUGACGGUAUCCAACCAGAAAGUCACGGCUAACUACGUGCCAGCAGCCGCGGUAAUACGUAGGUGGCAAGCGUUAUCCGGAUUUAUUGGGCGUAAAGCGAGCGCAGGCGGUUGCUUAGGUCUGAUGUGAAAGCCUUCGGCUUAACCGAAGAAGUGCAUCGGAAACCGGGCGACUUGAGUGCAGAAGAGGACAGUGGAACUCCAUGUGUAGCGGUGGAAUGCGUAGAUAUAUGGAAGAACACCAGUGGCGAUGGCGGCUGUCUGGUCUGCAACUGACGCUGAGGCUCGAAAGCAUGGGUAGCGAACAGGAUUAGAUACCCUGGUAGUCCAUGCCGUAAACGAUGAGUGCUAGGUGUUGGAGGGUUUCCGCCCUUCA
rnacentral:rRNA from 1 species